UACAGAGGCGGCAAGCGUUGUUCGGAAUUACUGGGCGUAAAGGGCGCGUAGGCGGUCCGAUAAGUCCCGUGUGAAAUCCCUCGGCUCAACUGAGGAAUGGCACGGGAAACUGCCGGGCUUGAGUUCGGGAGAGGGAAGCGGAAUUCCGGGUGUAGCGGUGAAAUGCGUAGAUAUCCGGAGGAACACCGGUGGCGAAGGCGGCUUCCUGGACCGACACUGACGCUGAGGCGCGAAAGCUAGGGGAGCAAACGGG
rnacentral:rRNA from 1 species